UUUAUUAUGUGCUGGGCUUAUGUCAGCUUCAAAAAAUUUAAUCAGUUUUUUGCCAUCACCUAAAACGAACAUAAUUAUUAGAAAAUAAUAGUUUUAUCAGAAAAAAAUGGUAUGUACAAUAAUGAUAUAAUACAUAUCUGAAUGACAUAUCGCAUAAUUUAAAAUAUAUAAACAUCACUAACACCUUUUGUUCGAUUUAAAGCUCAACGUGCUGCUCCUGUUUUUUUUUUUUUUUUUUUUUUUUUUUUUUUAAAAAAAAACAAAAAAAAAAAAACAUUCCUCAUUGUUUGUUAAUACAUUCCGGUUCUGAAAACAUGCAACACGAAAAUUUGUAUCAGAAUCUAAAGAACUUUCAGUAAUAACUAGAAAAUUUUUCAUUGUGCGUAAUAAUAUUUAACCUGUUAUCGUGUUAGUUGUAAUAACAAUAAAAAAAUGUGCAUAUUGACUCAAAUGUCGUCGUGGCAUAAUAUAGCAAUCAACAGAACAAUAGCUUAUAACUAUUAUAGGAGAAAAAUUCAAUUACGUUCACAUUAUAUUCAAUAACAAAUCCCAACACGUGCAUAGGACAUGCCCAGUGUCCAAGACACCACUCUCCCUCAAUUGUUUACCAAAUAUAAUAAUUUUGUGACAUCUGAAAAGAAUGGUCAUAUUCCAUGCCCAAGAGAUUUUAUUGGACAUGCGUACGCUGUGACGAUAAACUAGUCUUUUGUUGCUCUAUGACGCUGUCAUUAGGUAUUUAUCGGACAUGAACGGCUAGAGUUGUGGACAUUAAAAGCGACAGUCUCUUCUGCAAGACAAUAGUUGAAAACCGAUAAACGCUCAGAAAUAACUGUGAUUAUAAUAAACAGGGAAAGGUAAACAUGGAACAAUUAUCUAGAAUGUCGUCUGUUCUGGUCACGUGUGUACUCUGCUUGACAGUAGCAUUGUCGACUGCACUGCCUGUGACUAUUGAAUCUUUAGGAGGAUACAACAGUGAUAUUGACAACUCGAACAUUUUCGAUUCAUGCGCCAUAUGUAUUUCAUAUUCCGAUGCUGGCGCAUGCGCACUGUGUAAUUAUGAACUAGCUGACAGGUCUGUUGAGAAACGAUCUGGCAGAUUUAACCCUUUGCUGAGAGGAGGCUAUCCGAAAAAGAAUACCUAUUUUCCAUAUUAUAAUCCAUUGAGUCGAGGAAGUUACCCUAAAAAGUCGUACACAAGAGUGUAUCAUCCAUUCUUGAGAGGGGGUUAUAGAGGCCCGAUUCUGCCACAGAGGAGCUACUGGAACACGGAUGAUGAUGUUGAAGAGCCUUGAGGUUGAAAGUUGAUCAACUCAUAAACAUUUGGUUGUGAAUGCAACAUGGAUAAGUGUACUUGUAUGCGCUGUCCUAAAAAGAUUAAAUGAUAUGAAUGUUAAAUGCAGAAUGUUUAAAUGAGAAUUAAGAGAGACACUUUCAGCUACAUGAUGAGAAUUUUCUGGGAAAAUACCAGUUAAUCCAAAUGAGCGAAAUUUAACUUGACCUUUCGAUGAAAUUACAUUGGUGGUUACAUCAAUUCUGCUGUUACAGAAUCUAUCAGACAUUAUUCUAAAAACUUCUUCGGGCUGUAUUUAAGAAUUGAUGACUUUAAUGUAGAAGUUUGAUGGCGAAGAUAUGCCAAAGGUCUGUAAAGGAAUGUUUAAUAGAUGAAAGGAAGACGUAUUGUUCAUGUGCCUAUCCAACCAAAACUUCUUGAUAAUAUAGAAAAGAAAAAUGCUUUGACAACAAGAGAGUGUGUAAUGUUUAUUUACAAGUUAUGUCUUUGCGUUUGAGAAAAUGUUACAUGGUAGAUAUUAUAUUUUUGAUCUAGUCAAGAUAAAAGUGUAUGCGAAUAAGUGUUUGUGUCAUAACUUGCCGGCAAAAUACCUCAGUAAACCCAUUAAAGAAGAUACGGAGUAUACUGACAAAUAUCUUAUUGAAUCCACACAUCUUACAAUUCAGGAAACGUUCGUGUUUUCAUUGUAUCAAGGUUCAAACGAUUGUUUCAAGAAUUACUGAUAUCACUCAAGUUCAAUUCUGAUAAAUGUAUAUCUCGAUUUUCUUUUAGAAAUAAAUAGUUAUAAAAAAAUCCGAAUGCCAUUUCGCAAAUUGUUUUGUAAUGAGCUAAAUAAAAUCUGGUAAUAUU